rnacentral:lncRNA from 10 species
UGGGAACCUGCUUGGGCAAUACCCUGGACCCCAGUGAAGGCUUUGACCACAGCCCCUGUCCCUCUGGCUGUGUGCGUCCAAGACAGCGCCCCGUUCCCACCACCAGCCCUGCGAGGGGGCUGCCCUCUUCUCUCUGGAUCUGUGAGUCACGCUGUUAACUCCAGCAUUUUGUGGAGUUGCCACCUGAGUCUCACCUGACUGGCACACCUCAACCCACCUCUCCUCCCGUCGGCGUGGUCCUUUGGCGUGGCUGUCUUGGCUGGAAUAAACUGCAUGCAGGUGUCAGCCAGUCUCCUGUGACAGGGACACUCGGUCCCGGGUCGGACACCUCGGCCUUAGGCCGUCCACCAGGACAAAGAAGGGCCGACCUCUGGAACCCCAGGUUAGUCGCCUGGAAAAGGGAGGAACGGUCACCACGACACUGCCCCUGCCCGCAGCUUAGGGACGUUUCUGAGGUAAACGAGAUAAUGGUUGGAGUGUUGAGCACAGUCUGGCCACAGAGAACGUGAGAAGCCAUUGCCAGUGUCAUCAUGUGGUAAUUGGGAAGUUUCCGUGAACCGCUGCAGCAGGGAGUUUAAAGAAGAUCAGCAGAGGCCAAAGACUCCUUAGCGGCAGGGAGGGGAGGGCAGAGAAGAAAUCAGGUGGGGGAGGUCGAAGGGAAGUGGGAACGGCGGGCACAGACGUCCCUGAGCCCGGAUCCUGGUGCCCUCACCCUAAGCCAGCAGCCCACGACCACCCAGAGGCCAGGAGGCCCCCAGAGCCCCCAGCACCCACGGCUCCCUCCAGUGGGAAGAGUAGGAUCAGCCCAGAGCCCCUGCUGAGCCUGGACAAGGGGAAGGAAGGGGAAGCUCAGCGUGGUCACCCGGCAGUUUCUCCACUCUGAACCGCGUGCUGGGGGUCACGGGGCUCCCGCUGCUGACGAGGAAGCAGGGCCCACCCUGUCCAGCCUCGGCCUCUGCAGACCUGAGCGCAGCCCCACGUAUCCCCACGAUGGUUGCCGUCCCUGCGUGGGUUUUAUUUUCUCCACUCAGCGUCCUGUGACCACAGAGAUGGCGUGAGGUAGGAAGCUGUACAGCCCCAGCACGGGGCCCACGAGAGGAAGUCUCCAGCAGCAGCUAAUCCUGGGCGGAGAUGACAGCCCGGAGCCUUGGGCUGUUUAAACUCCAGCUGCACGGAAAGCCUCCAGCUGAGAGAGUUUCCCAGAGUCUGUCCCCGGGGUCGAGCCUUCGGGGGCCAGGCCAUGGGAGCUGGGUCUUCCUGUGCCUGGAGCCUUGUCCCCUGCGGACCUGCAGUGUGGCCAGAUGAUGAGUCUUGCACUGAGCAGAACUCCUUGGGCCUUAGGGGGUUCUGCCACCACCCAGCCAUCAUUGGCAGGGCAGGGAAGGCCGGCCCACACCCAGGUCUCGCUGCCUGGACCCUCUGGGGGAGCAAGCUUUGAGCAGGAGAGGGGCCAGGAGCCCCUGAGGAGCAGGAGCGAGGGCUCAGAGCCACAGAGAAUUCCUCAGCCAGGCCUGUGACAAACACAGCUGCCACUCCUCUUCCAGCCCCACUGCCCCAGCCACAUCACAUUGGUCCUGGUCACUCGCAGGGAAGGGCACUCACUGUCCAGGGAGAAAACCCAUUCCUUUCCUCUGGUUCUCUUCCCCAAAGACAUGCAAAUACUUUUUCCAGGAAUUUUCUAACAGCAAUGAUGCACGGACCCUUAACUUUAAACUGACCUAGAGGCCCAGGAGAGCCCAAUUAUUUCUGGCACAGGCACCUGGGCACAGGGUCUGGCCUGGUUCACUCUGGAGUGCCUGAGUCAUGGUGGAAAUUCAAUAUUUGUUAAGGAAAUUGGCAAAAGGAUGAAUGAAGAAAGAGAACAUUGCACGGUGUGUUCAAAAUGUCCGCAGCUAUAUUCCGCUGUGAAUUCAGGAGCUUGUUCCACAGUGUGUUCAAAACGUCCGCAGCGACAUUCCGCUGUGAAUCCAUGAGCUUGUUCCCCGGUGUGUUCAAAACGUCCGCAGCUACAUUCUGCUGCAAGUUCAGGAGCUUGUUCCUAGGUGACUCCGGCACAUAGGCUGGAAACACUACACUCACCGGGGGCUCAGCCCCGCACACCUGUGUGGGGAGGGAGCGGGGAGCGUCGGGGAAGAAGGAGGGGCCCGCCCCGUGAGACUGCGGCCAGGUCCUGCCCACGUGCCUGCUCUGCUGGGCUUGCAGCCAGGCCACCUCCCUGGCCCGGACCCCUCAGGGCCUCUGGACAGGGGCUGCAGGCUGCCUCUGGACUCUGCUCCUGGACUGGCCUCUGCUGGACGGCGGCGCCCUGCACCUCAACAGCCAGCCACACCAGGCAUGGCCGUCACCUACAGGUGAAGCUACAAAUUUAACCUCAUAUAAGGGAAUAUAACCAUGGCCAAGGAGCGAGGCAAGGCUUUUUAAACAACAUGUCAACAGCACAAAUCAGAGGCAAGUGAGAACCAAGUUUUAAAAAGAUGAAUGUGGUAUAAUCAGCAUUAAAGUUUCCUGUUCGGUCUGGGACUCCUUGGACCAAGCAUUACUGGGAGGCAACCUGAAUGCCCUCGGUGUGAGCGUGGAAAGAUGGCAGCUUCAAGGCUGGGCUCCGCAGUGGGGCAGGCCCCGCCCUGGACGAGCACGCGGCCACACAGAGGGUCCUCUUGAGCACGGUGACUCCCGUACCCGUAACAGUCAGGCCGAUUCUUCAAGAAAACAUACAAACUAAAAGAUGUCAAACACAGCAAAUUGGCUGCCCAUGGAGAAGGGUGGGAACCAAGAGAGGCACUGGCAGGAAAGGGGACCAGUCGUGCGACCCGCUGGGUGCAUCACUGAAG